UACGUAGGGUGCGAGCGUUGUCCGGAAUUAUUGGGCGUAAAGAGCUCGUAGGCGGUGUGUCGCGUCGGCCGUGAAAACCUGCAGCUUAACUGUGGGCUUGCGGUCGAUACGGGCAUCACUGGAGUUCGGCAGGGGAGACUGGAAUUCCUGGUGUAGCGGUGAAAUGCGCAGAUAUCAGGAGGAACACCGGUGGCGAAGGCGGGAUCUCUGGGCCGAUGCUGACGCUGAGGAGCGAAAGCGUGGGGAGCGAA
rnacentral:rRNA from 1 species